rnacentral:rRNA from 1 species
ACGGAAGGCAGCAGUGAGGAAUAUUGGUCAAUGGGCGGAAGCCUGAACCAGCCAAGUCGCGUGAAGGAUGAAGGUAUUAUGUAUUGUAAACUUCUUUAGGCGCAGAGAAAUAAGCCCCUCGUGAGGGGUGAUGCUAGUAUGCGCAGAAUAAGGAUCGGCUAACUCCGUGCCAGCAGCCGCGGUAAUACGGAGGAUCCGAGCGUUAUCCGGAUUUAUUGGGUUUAAAGGGUGCGCAGGCGGUCAAUUAAGUCAGUGGUCAAAUCGUGAGGCUCAACCUCAUCCCGCCAUUGAUACUGGUAGACUUGAUUGCGGUUGAGGUAGGCGGAAUUCGUCGUGUAGCGGUGAAAUGCAUAGAUAUGACGAAGAACACCGAUUGCGUAGGCAGCUUACCAAGCCGUAAAUGACGCUCAUGCACGAAAGUGCGGGGAUCGAACAGGAUUAGAUACCCUGGUA